UUUCAUCUUUCAUUUAGAUUUCGUAGGCCAAAAAAUUAAUGCAAAAAAUUGUCAUAGUUAUUCUCUAAUCAAUGCAUUUUGCUGGCUGUUUCUUUUCUUUGUUAUUUGCUACGGUUUCCUCAUGCUGCUCGUUUUCCCAGUUGAGAUUGACUCGAGCUUGUGGUAUUUCCUUCAGGAGCUCUAAAAGAAACAUCGGCUCCCGCUACCAACUCGAAGGAGCAAGCUGAGGAGGCAAUCGAGCAGGCAGACCCUACCCCCAAGGCUCCUGCACCUGAGAAGGAGAAGGUUCGAAUGGAGAAGACCGCUGUCAGGCAUUGAGGCAAACCGAGAGGUUCGGACAUCGAAGUCGAUCCCAAAGAUAAUCCCGAAGAGGAAGAAAUCCACAAACUACCGGGUCUGGGCUACCCCUGCUGCAGUUGCUUUAGUCCUGUUGCUGCAAGCACUCGGCCACCAUGCUUCGUGUUUUGGAGUCGUGAUGUGGUUUUGGGGAAGAGGCAGUGUUGACGGGGGUAGGGGACAAAGUCUGUUGUGUUGGGUUUGCACCAGAUGAAGGAUGUUAUCACCGCCAUUUGCGAUGAAUGUUUCGAUGCCAAGCACACGUGAUUAGGACGGAGGAUCAGAGAAGGGAGGACAGAGGAAAGGAUAUCUUUCCUGAUAAUUUUGCUUAACAGGGUGGAAAGAUGUUGUUAGGGUCAAGGAAUUUUGGAAUAAAAUUUAUGGAUGUCAAGCAUAGAUCGAAGCUUUUGGCUACGGUGACCAUCAUUGCCCUCAUUAUCCCCGAAACAGUCGGAUUCUGGUCAGAGUACUUGGCGGUGUAGGGCAGUGAGCUUGCACGGAUGAGGAGUUUACUUAGCCACCUCAAUUUCUGUAGCUUUCUCCUACCUAACGUAAGUAAGUUUCUUUGACCUUAGAAUUUGGAUAAAAUUGUGUUGUUGAAGAGGAUGAUAUCGUUUUAUUAUCUUUCAUAUAAUAUAAAUAGA